CCUACGGGAGGCAGCAGUAGGGAAUAUUGCUCAAUGGGGGAAACCCUGAAGCAGCAACGCCGCGUGGAGGAUGAAGGUUUUCGGAUUGUAAACUCCUUUUGUUAGAGAAGAUAAUGACGGUAUCUAACGAAUAAGCACCGGCUAACUCAGUGCCAGCAGCCGCGGUAAUACGGAGGGUGCAAGCGUUACUCGGAAUCACUGGGCGUAAAGAGAGCGUAGGCGGGAUAGCAAGUCAGAUGUGAAAUCCUAUGGCUUAACCAUAGAACUGCAUUUGAAAAUGUUAUUCUAGAGUAUGGGAGAGGUAGGUGGAAUUCUUGGUGUAGGGGUAAAAUCCGUAGAGAUCAAGAGGAAUACUCAUUGCGAAGGCGACCUGCUAGAACAUAACUGACGCUGAUGCGCGAAAGCGUGGGGAGCAAACAGGAUUAGAUACCCCAGUAGUC
rnacentral:rRNA from 1 species